GAUGAACGCUGGCGGCGUGCUUAACACAUGCAAGUCGAACGAAACACCUUAUUUGAUUUUCUUCGGAACUGAAGAUUUGGUGAUUGAGUGGCGGACGGGUGAGUAACGCGUGGGUAACCUGCCCUGUACAGGGGGAUAACAGUCAGAAAUGACUGCUAAUACCGCAUAAGACCACAGCACCGCAUGGUGCAGGGGUAAAAACUCCGGUGGUACAGGAUGGACCCGCGUCUGAUUAGCUGGUUGGUGAGGUAACGGCUCACCAAGGCGACGAUCAGUAGCCGGCUUGAGAGAGUGAACGGCCACAUUGGGACUGAGACACGGCCCAAACUCCUACGGGAGGCAGCAGUGGGGAAUAUUGCACAAUGGGGGAAACCCUGAUGCAGCGACGCCGCGCGAGUGAAGAAGUAUUUCGGUAUGUAAAGCUCUAUCAGCAGGGAAGAAAAUGACGGUACCUGACUAAGAAGCCCCGGCUAACUACGUG
rnacentral:rRNA from 1 species